rnacentral:rRNA from 1 species
UGCCCUAGUAACGGCGAGUGAAGCGGCAACAGCUCAAAUUUGAAAUCUGGCUCUCGGGCCCGAGUUGUAAUUUGUAGAGGAUACUUUUGAUGCGGUGCCUUCCGAGUUCCCUGGAACGGGACGCCAUAGAGGGUGAGAGCCCCGUCUGGUUGGAUGCCAAAUCUCUGUAAAGUUCCUUCAACGAGUCGAGUAGUUUGGGAAUGCUGCUCUAAAUGGGAGGUAUAUGUCUUCUAAAGCUAAAUACCGGCCAGAGACCGAUAGCGCACAAGUAGAGUGAUCGAAAGAUGAAAAGCACUUUGAAAAGAGAGUUAAAAAGUACGUGAAAUUGUUGAAAGGGAAGCGUUUAUGACCAGACUUGGGCUUGGUUAAUCAUCUGGGGUUCUCCCCAGUGCACUUUUCCAGUCCAGGCCAGCAUCAGUUUUCCCCGGGGGAUAAAGACGGCGGGAAUGUGGCUCUCUUCGGGGAGUGUUAUAGCCCACCGUGUAAUACCCUGGGGGGGACUGAGGUUCGCGCAUCUGCAAGGAUGCUGGCGUAAUGGUCAUCAACGACCCGUCUUGAAACACGGACCAAGGAGUCGUCUUCGUAUGCGAGUGUUCGGGUGUCAAACCCCUACGCGUAAUGAAAGUGAACGCAGGUGAGAGCUUCGGCGCAUCAUCGACCGAUCCUGAUGUUCUCGGAUGGAUUUGAGUAACAGCAUACGGGGCCGGACCCGAAAGAAGGUGAACUAUGCCUGUAUAGGGUG